ensembl:lncRNA LINC02690 long intergenic non-protein coding RNA 2690
ACGGGUUAUCAAGCCCUGGCUCUCUAUUUUCUCAGAAAAAAAGCAGCCCUUCUGCCCCUAAAAAAAGUCUACAAAGUCAAUCGUGAGACCAGACCUUGACCUGUUCCGUUUGGCGCUCUGGAUUGCGGAGCAUACCGAGGAGUCCUGGAUGGCAGAGCAGAUGCAACGGCACCCCUGAGCUGCCCUCAGGGGGUCCUCAGCCUUGGAGGAGGCAGGAGACCUGGGCUAUGGAGCCACUCACAGGCCCUACUGAGAACAACUUGGUGUCCAUCACAGUCCUCUUCAGAAUGCCCAGAAUAUGGGGAUAAGAAGGUGAAACCGGCAUGUUUAUUAACACAAUGGAAUAUUCUGUGGCCAAAUCAAAGGAAGACGUUGAGGAUUCUGGUGACACCUGGAAACGUACUGCUAAGGGAAAAAAGCAGGACCACAAUGUUAUGUGGAUAUUGACUGCGACUAUAUAUAAUGCCAGCGUGGACUUCUCAGAGAUGGAAUUUGGAGGAAUGUAAUACAGAUGCAAAUAGAGUUUUCCCCACA